rnacentral:rRNA from 1 species
CCUACGGGAGGCAGCAGUGAGGAAUAUUGGUCAAUGGGCGGGAGCCUGAACCAGCCAAGCCGCGUGAAGGAAGAAGGCGCCAGGCGUCGUAAACUUCUUUUGUCGGGGAACAAAGGGCGCCACGCGUGGCGUUGUGAGUGUACCCGAAGAAAAAGCAUCGGCUAACUCCGUGCCAGCAGCCGCGGUAAUACGGAGGAUGCGAGCGUUAUCCGGAUUUAUUGGGUUUAAAGGGUGCGUAGGCGGUCCGGAAAGUCAGCGGUAAAAGCCCGGGGCUCAACCCCGGCGAGCCGUUGAAAAUGGCGGACUAGAGACGGCGGGAAGGAAGGGGGAUGCGCGGGGGAGCGGUGAAAUGCAU